rnacentral:lncRNA from 1 species
GUGGCUGCGGCAAGGGUUGCAGCGAGGAGGUGUGAGGCGUUGGGGAGGAGAAGGGAAGAAGAGGAGAAGAAGAGAAGGAGAAGAAGAGGGAGAAGAGAAGAAAAGAAGAAGAAGAAGGAGAUGAGAGGGAAGAGGGAGAGGAAAGGGAAGUGGCUGCAGCUAGGGCGGCAGCACCUCUGUUUCCUGCACGAGGAAACAGAAGAGGUGUGGGGCGUCGGGGAGGAGAAGGGAAGAAGAGGAGAAGAAGAAGA